UACGAAGGGGGCUAGCGUUGCUCGGAAUCACUGGGCGUAAAGGGUGCGUAGGCGGGUCUUUAAGUCAGGGGUGAAAUCCUGGAGCUCAACUCCAGAACUGCCUUUGAUACUGAAGAUCUUGAGUUCGGGAGAGGUGAGUGGAACUGCGAGUGUAGAGGUGAAAUUCGUAGAUAUUCGCAAGAACACCAGUGGCGAAGGCGGCUCACUGGGCCGAUACUGACGCUGAGGAGCGAAAGCGUGGGGAGCGAACAGG
rnacentral:rRNA from 1 species